GUUGCCUUGUCAACUGCUGGUGCCUCACUUGUUCAUGGCUGCCGCUGUAGCGCUCCUUGGUGCUUCUGCUGGUGAGAAGGCUACGUCUUUCUGACGAAAGAAGUUGCAACUCCUCUUGAAGCGUGUCCAAGCCCAUCAGUCUGGCAAUUACACUCGGCGAGCGGCAUCUGCUGUCCAUGCUUGCGGCUGAUGGAUUUGGGACGGAAACUCGGGGUGGUGCCUUGUCCGUGGAUUUUCUCAGCGCAAACUCGAAUCCAAACUGCCGAUUGAAGACAAAAGACGCUGGUACAUGGUUUUGCCUCAUACUCUCGAAUGCUGCACUGGAAAUGUCCAAGCUAUUCCUGGGAGCUUCAAAACCUGCAAAAAAACACACCUUUGAGCUCGGUCCAAGAGGAGCAACGAUGAACAAUUCUACCUUCGGAAAAUUUCCGCUCGGAGAGCGAUUUCCUCGCUACGACGACAGGGGUUGUGUCCUCGGAUUCCGGUGCUCCGUUCCAGAUUCCGUUGAAGCAGCCAGGGACAUCAUGGCCGAAAACGUUCGAAAUUUUCAAGGAUUCUGGGACACUCCCUAUAGCUGCAUUGUUAUAGAGCACUACAGAGCAAGCAAUGCUGCCGUUGUCGGUGACUCUAGCACAGGAAAGGAAGCUCGAUCAAGUCAAUGCUAGCACUGUUGCAUUGAAAGGUACCACUGCCUCCUAGUCUAUGAAUUUCUCUCCUAAGGGCUUUGAUCUGCGCAGGCUCGGAGAAGAUAAGCAUCGACAAGCAAUUGCGCUGGAGAAGAAGUAUAGCAGGCUAGCAGCGCGAGGGGUGAAGUGCAGAGAAAGAAAAGGCGGAAGAACAGAGCUUGUUCUUCACGAUAAGAGCGGUCCUCGGUACUUCAAGAGCCUCGUUAAGAGGACAGUGAGAGGUCGGUGGUCUCCUUUCUUCUUCGACGCGUAACCAAGACGUACCGAGAUGGAUUUGAUAAGCACAGAUCGCUCAAGGCUGGGAUGGGCGAUCGUGGUCAUCAUCAUAACAACGAGCAGGGAGAAUAUUCGCAACUUGCGAAGUCGAGAAGAACUUAGAACUUAAGAACUUACUAUGCGUAAAAGCUUUCCAUGGUGCUUGAGCUUUCAAAGAGGGGAGGGAGCUUCUUUAACUGCCUUCUGCUCCUCCCAUAAAGUGGGAGCUGAAAUUUUUUGAACUCGCUUCAUUCAUUCGGUCGAUUGAUGCUCUCUGCGGGAUUUAAUGUGUCGAGUUUUUUGAGUUUGAACGAUCCGAUGCAAAAAUGUCGCCUACGCGCAAACGUGGAUUGAUUGAUGGAUGGACUCUGAUUGAUUGAUUUAGAUUCAAACAAACUCCACACGACUCGGUUAGGAUUGUCAGCCAA